GGAAAUUGCUGUAAAAUGUAUGACUUCAUUGAAUUAUGGUUCUACUUGAGCAAUUCUGUGAGUGCACAGGUAUGUCUGUUGAAGAGGAGACGAGAUCCAUGGCUUUCAGUGGACCUUCAAAACAGUUUGUGAUGCAAAAACUUCUAUAGAGAUGACCAGGAAUUUACUUAAGAAACAAUCACGUGGAUGGAUCCAGAAUGUCCUGCCCAGUAUUUUAUACAAAGAGAAUGCUAUAUGUUGAUGGGCCAAUUUAUUAACUGAUUGUUAGUGCUGAAAGCAGUUUCUCUGACCUCCAGUUUUAAUUGCUACUCUGCCACUGACUGACACUUUCAAGAAGUUAAUUUAAAAAAUCAGAGGGAUAAUUCUAUUCUACCUAUGUGAUUUGGCAGUGAAGAAACAU